rnacentral:rRNA from 1 species
CUACGGGGUGCUGCAGUAGGGAAUUUUCGGCAAUGGGCGAAAGCCUGACCGAGCAAUGCCGCGUGAACGAUGAAGGCCUUCGGGUUGUAAAGUUCUGUUAUCAGGGAAGAACAUACGGAUUAGGAAAUGACUCCGUACUGACGGUACCUGAUCAGAAAGCUCCGGCUAACUACGUGCCAGCAGCCGCGGUAAUACGUAGGGAGCAAGCGUUAUCCGGAAUUAUUGGGCGUAAAGCGUGCGUAGGCGGUUCGUUAAGUCAAAUCUGAAAGCCCACAGCUUAACUGUGGAGGGCGAUUUGAAACUGGCGAACUUGAGUACGGCAGAGGUUAGUGGAAUUCAAUGUGUAGCGGUGGAAUGCGUAGAUAUAUUGAGGAACACCAGUGGCGAAGGCGGCUAACUGGACCGGAACUGACGCUGAGGCACGAAAGCGUGGGGAGCAAACAGGAUUAGAUACCCCCGUAGUC